UACGGGGGGAGCAAGCGUUGUUCGGAUUUACUGGGCGUAAAGGGUGCGUAGGCGGUCGGGUAAGUCUGAUGUGAAAUCUCACAGCUUAACUGUGAAACUGCAUUGGAUACUAUUCGGCUUGAGAGUUGGAGGGGGGACUGGAAUUCUUGGUGUAGCAGUGAAAUGCGUAGAUAUCAAGAGGAACACCAGUGGCGAAGGCGAGUCCCUGGACAACUUCUGACGCUGAGGCACGAAAGCUAGGGGAGCAAACAGG
rnacentral:rRNA from 1 species